AGAGUCAUGAGUCUCUCUGCACUGGUCCAAUCACUGCUCAGUGCUGUCUGAGUCCAGCGCUCUCUUUUUAAAUCCCCCUCUCUGUGGUGGAUCAGCACUCGCAGCGCAGCCCUCCGGUGAUACAGCAAGUGGUAGAGAAGUCUGCUGAAACAGCCUACACAUUUUCCGGCUGUGAGUGGGGCCUUCAUGGAUUCCCCGUACAAUGGCAACACGUCCCUCCAGACCUCCACCUCCAACCUCAACGCCAACUUCUCCCGACCGACCGAGGCGGAAGAGGAGGGCAAGUACUCCAGCGACGCCAUCUGGCUUUGGGUGGCCGUCAUUGCAACCAUCGGCAACAUAGUAGUGGUAGCAGUGGUUUGCGCCUGUGCCUUCUAAGACCUGUUAGUUGCAAGCACACAGCCGAAACAUCCCCCUUGCCCCUUGUCUUUCCUCCACUUGAACCUAUCCCCUGUAUUCAUUUGACUUUUGACUUUUGUAAGUGUCCAUCCAUAAUAUUAAAGCCAAGGCCCCGUUCUGAGGAUCAAUGGAAUAUGAUAGUGUAAAUAUAGGGACUGGCUUAACUGAUGUUCUCUAGGACUAGGAAUGAGAGAAACAAUCCUCUGUAGUUACCAUACUGUAUCUUACCUUAAGCCUAUGUCUCACACUGUUAAACAAAAAAAAAUCAUGAGAAACGGUGAAGUGAGCAGAUGUGGGCUGUGCCUUUUUAUAAUGAACACGGUAAAUUAGUUAAGGAAGUGGGCAAUAUAUAAAGCAGCUGAGUGAGCCUCCCUUCUGCUUACCACCAGAGGUCAGCCUAAAGGAUUAUGGAAGUGUACAGCUGUGAGAUCCCCUCUGCCUGUGAACCUGAACAGAGCACCACACCAUAUAUCUUUGUCUUGUUGAUGUCAUGUGACUGUUUGUCUGGAAUGGAUGUGUUGAUGCUGCUGUCUUGGUCCAGUUCUCUCUUGAAAAAUGUUUUUUUUAUUUUUUUUAUCUCCACGAGACUAAUCUGCUUAAAUAAGGGUGAAAUAAAUAAAUCAGCAGUUCUCGUUGUGGCUGGCCAUCGUCUCGGAGACCAGUGGAGAGAUAUGUGACAGAUGGUGGCUGGUAAUGGGGCAGAGGGGACAGCGGAGGGGCCCAGGGCAGGCUUGGCAGUGCCCCCAGUACCUGGUGUUCUUUCCUGUGACUGCUACACCACUGCACUACCAUUACUGCUCUGUCCUGUCCUCAUCAGCCUGUCAGUGAUAGAAAUCUCCCCAAGCACUUUAUAAAGCGCAAUAAAGUGGGGAGUUUUCUUCCAUUUUAACUGCAUUGUUCUGCAGUGGCUGUAGACCUGUGCCAGUUUAACUAUGCAGUGAAGGCAUCCUAUUGGGCACACACUGGUUGAAUCAAUGUUGUUUCCACGUCAUUUCAAUGAAACGACGUUGAACCAACAUGGAAUAGAUGUCGAAUUGCCAUCAGUGGGAUAGCAGUGGCUAAUGUUUAUGAGUGAGACAAAUGUAUAGAAACACAGUAUCACCCACAAGCCAAAUGAGUGAAUGAAGUUGUCAGCACAAAUCAGAUGUUAUACCACCCCUGCUGACAUUAUCUGAAGUUACGGAACCACCAAUUACAUUGCACUAAAUAAUUGAGCCGGCCCACCAUUACCAGACCACUGCUACAACAGCCUCAAGCUGUUGAGCUAGCAGUCAAUGAGUUCGCUCGUCAUAAGAAACCCCAUUGCUGUUAACACUCAUUUUUUUGUUGCUCUGCCAGGCAGUCAGAAUCUCACAUUUGCCUCAGAAUGUCUCUCAGUAGACUAGUGUGUGUAGGUGGCAGCAGCCCCAGUAGUUCUGUGCUGUGCUGUCUCCCAUGCACCCAGUGGAGUCGGGCCACAGACUUGUCAAACAGCAGGGCUUUAAUGAGAUGUAAUGCCUCUCUCUCUCUCUCUUUCCUAAAGCGAACACUGACCUCCCGUUGCGCUGUGGUGAUCAGAACAGAGCUGAUCCCUGCUGCACUCAGCUGCUCUGAACAAAGAUAGUGCUUCAAGUGCAUUUUUAGAGUGUGACUUCCUCAUUUAAUCAGCACUCGUUGACAGAGAGAAAGGGGAAGGAGAGAGGAGUGGAUGAGAGGAGUGGCUGCAUGGGAAUUGAUAUUUAACAGCCAACUUCCAUGUCAUCUCUUUGAAAUACAGAACUUUUUUUGAAGUUGAAUGGAGAAUUCCAUUAUUUUUAUUGAAACCAACGAAGUGGAAUAAAAAGUUUGAAAAUGGAGAGAUUUAGGAUCAAAGGCCUGGCUGAGCCAUCACUUCACACAGCUAAUUGCCCUGAUCUCACUGUACAGUAGAGUUAAUGAAAACAAAGAGACCGAUUCAUCAUGGCAUCUCUGAGCGUUCCUUUUCAGGGUCCUUAGAGAGCUUAGCCAGAAACAUGCGGGGACACUAAUCUGCUGUCUGUUAAAAUAAACAACAACAAUCACACUGAAUGGGGUCUUCAUAAGUAACUGCUGGCAAUAACUCAAGAUGACGCUAACAAGUUAGAAUUAUACAUCCCCACUAUAUGUAGUUACAUUAAUACUGUAACUAUUCUGAAGCCAAUUUCAUAUGGACUAGGUGAGGAAUCCCAGUUAGCUAUAAGAGGAAUUUCUUCUACCCUUGUAUCGGCUGUGUGCUUUGACAUGGGACUGGUUAAGGCUCAGGUGCCCACUGUCUACGGCUCAAAUUAUGUGCCUGAACUGACUAACACAACUCCUACCCGUCAACUGCUUAUUGGCCAUGGACGCCCCUUGUGAUCACCAUGGAUGAUGGUCCUCCUACACACCACAAAAGGUCAUCACAGCCUCAAGUCCAGGCCCAGAGGGGACUGAAGUCUGCUUAAUCACACCCCAUAGAGCAUUCCAUCCUCCUUCUCCUUUCCCCUAUGUUCUCUCUCCUUCCAUCCAUGCAGAGCACCAGACCGUGCUUUCUGCAUUGGCACUGGCCUCUGACCCGAGGCAGGGCACCUCAUGCCCACAUGCCUCUUCCUUCCCAGGCAACAAGAAAUAGUCCGGUCGUUGCUGGGUGAAAUGGACAAGUCACUCCUACGAGAGGAGAACUGUAAGAGCAAGGAGCAGCUGGACUCCCAGGAAUUUUCCAUCCUUCCUCGGCCUCCAGGAAUAUAUAUGCUAAUUAAAGCUGACUUCCUAUAUCCUGAGUACAGCAGAGACAGUAUGGUUGACUAGGGACUGUGACUUUAUAAAAGCCCCCAGAGGAAACCCAUAAAGACUACAAGGAGGCUGGGAGGAAUAUUGUGUAUAGGUGGGACUUGAGAGGUGACAGUAACAGACAUCAUAUUUAUGACUUCAACAAAUGAUACCAUAUCUUAUUCAAGGUUACUUGUAGUUAACUUGAUUUGGAAUGUGCUGUGACUCAUGACACUCAAAGGACCUAGAAAGUGAAACCACACUAUGUCCAUCCUCCUGGAGCCCUGUAUGUCUUUGUUUUGAAAUGGAUUUCUGACAGCGAUUCACAUACUCAGUGCAAUGAAUGGAUGGAUAUUUAUCGACUUCCUUGACUCUGAAGACUUGGAUUCUACAUUUCUGUGCAUCCAGUUGCAGUGUUGUACGUUCUGAUACCUCCCUGUAGGUGUCAGGGUUACUGCUAUGAAAUACUGAUUAACAGAAAGGCUGUUGGCUAAAUACAGGAGCUGUAUUAGUUCAAUUAAUUCACAAUGUUAAUUCACAAAAGCUUUCUAUAACAAUUACUUCAUACAAAAUACUGCACAGAGUCAUGUCACUGCAAUUGUUUUAAAUUACAUUUCUAGAGGGGGAGGGGAACCCUUACUGUCUUGACUUUCCAUAAAUGUAUGACAAACUUUGAAAAGAUAUCUUAAAAAAAAACAGGAAAUCUAUCAUUUAGGGGUUUAUUUUAAUUUCAGUAUGUGUAUAAGCACGGUUGCAGUGUACAGUAUAAACACUAGGGGGGUUAUUGACACCAUUUAUAUUUUUAACAUGAUAUUUGAGGCUCAUUAUUAUUUUGUUCCCAUGCUAGAUUAACCAAAACAUGCGCACACACGCAUUGUGAAACGUGGCUUGCAUUACAGGAGCCAGGAUUCAAUACGUGUACUGUAUACGGAUAAUGGAUGUGUGUACACGUCAGUAAAUUAGACCAGCUCUGUUGUUCAUUAGCUCCUCACUACCAGUAGUCCCAACAUCCAAGCCGCGUGUGCAUGCUCAUUGCAAAGACGUCUUAAUAUGGAAAACACUUAGACGCAGCUGGUGCCGAGACCACAUGACAGUUCGAACCAGGAUAAUUUUCUUGUCUUUUCGAAUUUCUAUUGUGAUAUUUUGAUUUAGUAUGAGCUUACUGAGCUUGCUUGCAUGUAUUGGGUUUACUUCCGUACCGACAUAUUGUUAGUCUUCAACUCUGCAAGCUGCGUUCCACUAAGGAAUAAAUCAUGUAAUAAUCAUGACAUUAUGGAAUAUUGAUUGGAGGAUUCAUUACUUGGCACAUGUAGAACUAAUGUGGAAUAUUUUUUUGUCAACUUUUUAUUGAUCAUGUACAUAUUUCCAAUGUUUUAGCAAUUGUCAGUGCAGAAACAUCGCUGCCAAAGUCUUGAUGUAUUUUUUUUACAAACUCUUGCAAGUGAACAGAAAAGCUUAGAAGUAAACAUGUUUUUACCUACAUAAUAAAAUCUAUGUCGUCUGUUAACCUCAUGUUUUUACCAUCCUGUUUAAUUCAAUUAAAGUGAUAAGAAUGUGAAAAUGA